GAGUUCUCCCUGAGACUUUAGGUCUCCUGAAGGAACGUUGAAGACGACGACGUUGAUAGGCCGGGUGUGUAAGCGCAGCGAUGCGUUGAGCUAACCGGUACUAAUGAACCGUGAGGCUUAACCUUAC
rnacentral:rRNA from 1 species